rnacentral:SRP_RNA from 1 species
GCUGGGGACCUUGUAGAAGGAAAUAGUUUGAACCAGGUCAGGACCGGAAGGUAGCAGCCUUUAAGACGUCAUUUCCUGCUAUAGGCAAUCUCCAGCAUU